UAGGGAAUCUUCCGCAAUGGGCGAAAGCCUGACGGAGCAACGCCGCGUGAGUGAUGAAGGUCUUCGGAUCGUAAAACUCUGUUAUUAGGGAAGAACAAAUGUGUAAGUAACUAUGCACGUCUUGACGGUACCUAAUCAGAAAGCCACGGCUAACUACGUGCCAGCAGCCGCGGUAAUACGUAGGUGGCAAGCGUUAUCCGGAAUUAUUGGGCGUAAAGCGCGCGUAGGCGGUUUUUUAAGUCUGAUGUGAAAGCCCACGGCUCAACCGUGGAUGGUCAUUGGAAACUGGAAAACUUGAGUGCAGAAGAGGAAAGUGGAAUUCCAUGUGUAGCAGUGAAAUGCGCAGAGAUAUGGAGGAACACCAGUAGCGAAGGCGACUUUCUGGUCUGUAACUGACGCUGAUGUGCGAAAGCGUGGGGAUCAAACAGG
rnacentral:rRNA from 1 species